rnacentral:rRNA from 1 species
UACGUAGGGAGCAAGCGUUUGUCCGGAAUCAUUGGGCGUAAAGAGCGCGUAGGCGGCCAGAUAAGUCCGGUGUGAAAGUCACAGGCUCAACCUGUGAAUGCCGCUGGAAACUGUAUGGCUAGAGUCCGGAAGGGGCGAGUGGAAUUCCCGGUGUAGCGGUGAAAUGCGCAGAUAUCAGGAAGAACACCCGUGGCGAAGGCGGCUCUCUGGGACGGUACUGACGCUGAGACGCGAAAGCGUGGGGAGCGAACAGG